AACGAACGCUGGCGGCAUGCCUAACACAUGCAAGUCGAACGAGACCUUCGGGUCUAGUGGCGCACGGGUGCGUAACGCGUGGGAACCUGCCCUUAGGUUCGGAAUAACUCCCCGAAAGGGGUGCUAAUACCGGAUAAUGUCUUCAGACCAAAGAUUUAUCGCCUUUGGAUGGGCCCGCGUUGGAUUAGCUAGUUGGUAGGGUAAAAGCCUACCAAGGCGACGAUCCAUAGCUGGCCUGAGAGGAGGAUCAGCCACACUGGGACUGAGACACGGCCCAGACUCCUACGGGAGGCAGCAGUGGGGAAUAUUGGACAAUGGGCGAAAGCCUGAUCCAGCAAUGCCGCGUGAGUGAUGAAGGCCUUAGGGUUGUAAAGCUCUUUUACCCGGGAUGAUAAUGACAGUACCGGGAGAAUAAGCUCCGGCUAACUCCGUG
rnacentral:rRNA from 1 species